rnacentral:tRNA from 1 species
UUUCUCUCUAGCUUAUAUAUAAGAGUGUUAGUUUGAAGAGCUGAAGGUACAGGUAUGUGGGAGGAAG